UACGUAGGGGGCAAGCGUUGUCCGGAGUUACUGGGCGUAAAGGGUGUGUAGGCGGUUGUUUAAGUUUGGUGUGAAAUCUCCCGGCUCAACUGGGAGGGUGCGCCGAAUACUGAAUGACUUCGAGUGCGGGAGAGGAAAGUGGAAUUCCUGGUGUAGCGGUGAAAUGCGUAGAUAUCAGGAGGAACACCGGUGGUGUAGACGGCUUUCUGGACCGUAACUGACGCUGAGACACGAAAGCGUGGGUAGCAAACAGG
rnacentral:rRNA from 1 species